rnacentral:rRNA from 1 species
ACGGGUGAGUAACGCGUAUGCAACCUACCCAUAACAGGGGGAUAGCUUUCGGAAACGGAAAUUAAUACCCCAUAGGAUUUUAAUGCCGCAUGGUAUAAAGAUUAAAACUACGGUGGUUAUGGAUGGGCAUGCGUGCCAUUAGCUAGUUGGCGGGGUAAAGGCCCACCAAGGCGACGAUGGCUAGGGGGUCUAAAAGGAUGAUCCCCCACACUGGUACUGAGACACGGACCAGACUCCUACGGGAGGCAGCAGUGAGGAAUAUUGGUCAAUGGGCGAGAGCCUGAACCAGCCAUCCCGCGUGCAGGAAGACGGCCCUAUGGGUUGUAAACUGCUUUUUUAUGGGAAGAAAAAGCUCUACGUGUAGGGCACUGACGGUACCAUAUGAAUAAGCAUCGGCUAACUCCGUGCCAGCAGCCGCGGUAAUACGGAGGAUGCAAGCGUUAUCCGGAUUUAUUAGGUUUAAAGGGUGUGUAGGCGGAAGAUUAAGUCAGUGGUGAAAUCUCACAGCUUAACUGUGAAACUGCCAUUGAUACUGGUUUUCUUGAGUAUAGUUGAAGUAGGCGGAAUGUGUAAUGUAGCGGUGAAA